rnacentral:sRNA from 21 species
GUCAAUGACCGCCGGUCGGAGACCGGAGGCUUGGGAGAGCCUGGCUCUUGCAAGCCGAUUGACCAGACCAGGUUCUUGAGAGAGCGUUGCCGAGCUUCUCUGCGUCACCGCUCCCGCUGAGAGAACGUCGAUGCUUCCAAGUGUUCAAGAUCGUACUGGCGGGUGCUGCCCCAGCCUGCCACCCUACA